UCCCUCAUGGUACUUGUUUGCUAUCGGUCUCGAACCAAUAUUUAGCUUGAGAUGAACUUUACCACCCACUUUACGCUCCAAUUCCGAGGAACGCGUCUCUUAGAAGGCGCGCCGUGCACGGGGGACAGCAAAUGACAAACGGGACUCUCACCCUCGUUGAUGCUCUUUUCCAAGAGGCUUACAUCUGCGCCUCCGUUGGCAACGCAUCUCGAGACUACAAUUCAAGGCCGAGGGCCCCAAUUUCCAUGCUGAGCUGAUCCCUGUUCAUUCGCCAUUACUGAGGGAAUCCUAUUUAGUUUCUUAUCCUCCGCUUACUUAUAUGCUUAAAUUCAGCGGGCUUGCUGACCUCACUUCAUGUCUUGGUUGAAGUGCCCCAGAGGCACUGGAUGCGAGAGGACGCCAUCCGCAACGGAGCAACAGACUAGCAUCAGAGAGAGAGACGCUCUUCCAAUUGCUGUUGCGAACGUUCCCUGUGAUCUGAAUGCGUCGGGGGCGCGAGACACCCUAACGCACAAAUACACCGAAGCGGCAAUGGAGGACCAUGCCGCUGGAAUGAGAUGCACUAGACACUGAAGAAGGCAUGCUUUCAGGGAUAUCCCGAAAGCGCAGUAUACGUUCAAGUCCCUAUUGGUUCAC
rnacentral:misc_RNA from 1 species